rnacentral:rRNA from 1 species
UACGUAGGUGGCAAGCGUUGUCCGGAAUUACUGGGUGUAAAGGGAGCGCAGGCGGGAAGCCAAGUCAGCUGUGAAAACUACGGGCUUAACUUGUAGACUGCAGUUGAAACUGGUUUUCUUGAGUGAAGUAGAGGUUGGCGGAAUUCCGAGUGUAGCGGUGAAAUGCGUAGAUAUUCGGAGGAACACCGGUUGCGAAGGCGGCCAACUGGGCUUUAACUGACGCUGAGGCUCGAAAGUGUGGGGAGCAAACAGG